GGACCCGCACAAGCAGCGGAGCAUGUGGUUUAAUUCGAAGCAACGCGAAGAACCUUACCAGGGCUUGACAUCCUUCUGACCGGAACUUAACCGUUCCUUUCUUCGGACAGAAGUGACAGGUGGUGCAUGGUUGUCGUCAGCUCGUGUCGUGAGAUGUUGGGUUAAGUCCCGCAACGAGCGCAACCCUUGUCGUUAGUUACUAACAUUCAGUUGAGGACUCUAAUGAGACUGCCGUGGAUAACACGGAGGAAGGUGGGGAUGACGUCAAAUCAUCAUGCCCCUUAUGUCCUGGGCUACACACGUGCUACAAUGGUCGGUACAAAGAGACGCGAGACAGCGAUGUGGAGCAAAUCUCAAAAGCCGAUCCCAGUUCGGAUUGCAGGCUGCAACUCGCCUGCAUGAAGUCGGAGUUGCUAGUAAUCGUGGAUCAGAAUGCCACGGUGAAUGCGUUCCCGGGUCUU
rnacentral:rRNA from 1 species